UGAGGAAUAUUGGACAAUGGGCGCGAGCCUGAACCAGCCAAGUAGCGUGAAGGAUGAAGGUCCUAUGGAUUGUAAACUUCUUUUAUAGCAGAAUAAAGUGACCCACGUGUGGGUUUUUGUAUGUAUGCUAUGAAUAAGGAUCGGCUAACUCCGUGCCAGCAGCCGCGGUAAUACGGAGGAUCCGAGCGUUAUCCGGAUUUAUUGGGUUUAAAGGGUGCGUAGGCGGAAAGAUAAGUCAGCCUGUGAAAGUUUGCGGCUCAACCGUAAAAUUGCAGUUGAUACUGUUUUUCUUGAGUGUACAUAAGGUAGGCGGAAUUCGUGGUGUAGCGGUGAAAUGCUUAGAUAUCACGAAGAACUCCGAUUGCGAAGGCAGCUUACCGGGGUACAACUGACGCUGAUGCACGAAAGUGUGGGUAUCAAACA
rnacentral:rRNA from 1 species